UGAUCCCUCUCCUCCUCCCCUCUCGCGACGCCAACUCUCCUUCUCUUCCCCUUUGCUUUCGCGAUGUCGAAGCCCUCUCCUCUUCCCAGAGCCCGAUCGCCUUCCCCUCCUGCGACACUUCUUCUCCCGCGGGUACAAAACAACCGACCUCCUCUUCGUCUCCCCAAUCCCUAACGCCCCUCUUCCUCUCCCGAUCCCUCAUCCCUUCUCCUUGAUUUCCAAACACUGACUCUCCUCAUCGACUCCAUUGCCGCCCGAAGCCAUGCCUCCCGACGGAUGCCAUGCCUCGCGACGGAUGCCACGCCACCAUCGGUGACCUCGCCAUCCUGGAAGAGGCUACGUGGGGUUGCUAUUGUCGACCUUCUCCUUCGAGCCGUGGAUAGAAGUAGAGCAUCCACUAUUGAAUUUUUCGCUGGUGCCCUAGCCACCGCCUUCCCCCUUCCUCGCGCCUUCACUGUCGCGGCUACCUAGGGCAGGCCAUCACUGUUUCGUCAGAUCGCUCGCUAAGCAGUUGGCAAGAACUAGAAUCAUGUUGAAUUCCAGCUAACAAGUGCUGAUCGGGAAUAAUUAACAGCAACAAUUUCAUCUUGGCUCCGACUUUGGUUUCCAACAGCAACUUCUCUAGUUGUGAUUCAACAUAGAAGGGUUAAAUUGGGUUGAAGCUAUCAGGAGAUUUUAGUCGCUAGUCCCCCACUAGGUGUCGAGAUGGCUUUCUGGUUGCGGACUUUCGUUGUUUCCUUAUGUUUUUAAUGUCUACAUACUUAUGAUGUGUAGUUCUUAUACUUAUGGAUUCUAUGUCGUGCUUCGGGUAUGAUGCCCAUGUUCUCCGCUGCGAAGGUUUUCCGGUGUGUUGUGUCUUCCUCGUUGUAGUGGAGUAGGUUUUUAUCAUUAUAAUUGCGUGGUUGUGUCAGCCAGAGAUUGAAUUAUAUAAACUACGUGGAAUGCUUAUCAUAUUUUAUUGUAUAUGUUCCGGCUGUGUUGUCGUAGAUUGAGGGGUCAUGAGGGCUUUGUAGAUAAGUUUCAGAUUGUCACCCGUACAGGGGAGAUGUUGUCGGAAUUUCCUCUAGCAGGGACUCCCCCGGGGCGUGACAUCGACAUUCUUCUGGUCCAAAUAUGAUAUGACCCUUACUUUACGGACAUUCUCAGAAUGGAGGCGAGACUCGGCAAUCUAGAGUUAUUUUUAAAGUUUUUCCAUGAAGAUCGUGAUAACCAUGAUUUUACUGCAUUAUUUUAAUUCAUAUAUGCAUGGUUUGAUGUUGAUUUUAUAGGUUUAAAUCAUGGUUA